UACAGAGAAAGCCUUGAGCUCCUCUUGUGUGUUCCUCAUGCUCUGCAUUGUGUACAAACAUUUCAGGUGUGGUACAUUGUAGCCAACACCUCCUGAAGCUGACUGAGGGAUCCCAUUAGUGCUCAUUUCCUCAUGUUUUGGCACAGCAUUCCAUUGCUCUUCACUGUCUGCAGUUGCAACUUCAGUGUCCUUGGAGAGACAGUCUUCUACAAGAGUGCAUCAACUCCUUCUCAAACAGAACUUAUUCUGGAAGAUUCCAGGGACAAACCAGUAAUGGAGGACAUGCAUCAGCAGCAUUAGGAAGAAAAAGACAAAUCAUGGGAACUAUGGUAUCUCCAAAGUACAGCAUAUGACUAUUGAAUCACAGAUCAACCACAAUACAUCUCAGAAGAAUGUCACAUAUCACUGGAAAAUAAAUGUAACUUCUGCAAGCAAAAGAGAUUAAAGGCAGUGCAAACUUCA